AUGAACAAAGAAAUUUCAUCAGUGGCGCACGAGCAGAUCCUCCUGGGGAUGGGCAAUCCUCUUCUCGACAUCUCUGCCGUCGUCGACGAAGAAUUCUUGACAAAGACUUCACCCCGAAUCAAUCUUUUGACCCCCAGCACUCUUGUUUGAAGAGAUUGUAGUCGCGGUCUGUUAUAUGAGGGUUUUGUAAUUUAGAAAUAGCAAGCCUCUCAUGAAUGUAGCUGAAAUGAAGGUUUAACAUAAGUAAGAAAGGAAUCUAAGGUUUAUGCAUUUCUAGGAAGCUAAGUAGUAAAAGAAAGUACCACAAAAUGGUUUUGGUUUAGUGCCAAAAGUUAAUUGCAAGUGCAUAGUCAAAGCAAAAUACCCUGGUCAACCUGUCGAAACCUGUACCUAAUACUGCUUAGCCAAAAUCUGAUUCGGUCAUAGAAUCAUUGCAGUUAAAUAGGAGUAAACAAAACGCAGAGAAGAAUUCACCAUUCCGAAGUUCACACAACAUACUCAUUUACCUUCACGUUUUUUUGGAUGUUGAUUGAUUGUGUACUUUCUUGUAACACAACAGAUUUUCUUGUCAUCCCUGUAUUUGUAUCUGUACACGUAAUUAUAUGAUUAAAUAACAGCUUACAAUAUUUUUCGACGGUAAGAGGUUGGUUGUGA
rnacentral:sRNA from 1 species